AGGGGCCGAGCGGCGCCAAGUCUCGCGAGAUCUCCAGCAAUGGCUGACCGUGCGGCCCUGAGAGAGAGCAGCGAGAAGGAGCCUCCGAACUUGCCCUGCGCCCUCCGUAUCCCCUCACAGUCCCCCUACCCCUCGUAACCACACCAGGGAGGUGUCUCCCAGCGCCCUCAGUGAGGCUCAGACCCCCGUCACACCCUCCGGUGCUCAAGUAGCUCUGCCCGCCUUGCAGGUGUAGGAGUUCCUUUAAGGCAGCACCAGAACAGCGGGAAAGGCAGAAAGGCAGCGAAAAUCCUCAAAAACCGCUUGCUGAGGCCGGGAUUUGUAUGCACAAACCUCCAACAAAGGCGCCAGGAUGUAAUCGGGAGGGAAGAUAAUUCUAGGAAGAGUUUCACAGCUCAUGAACACCCAGUGCCUGUAAACCUGUGGGUUUUUUUGCAUCAGAGGGGGCAAAGUGACCACGAGUGAGAAGGUGAGGGCCAGGGAGGUGCUGCAGGACUCACCUCCUCCCUGGCAAUGGUCAUGUUGUCCUGCACAUUCCCAAAGACCGUGGGCUGGAUGAAGUAGCCCCUGUCGGCAGCAGCGUUGCCACCACACAGCAGUUUGGCUCCCUCACGCUUCCCAGUGCUGAUGUAACCCAGGAUCUUCUUGAACUGCUCUUCAUCCACCUGUGAGCCAUGAGGACAUACAUCAGCUCCACCUCCACCGGGGGGAAAGUAGAUUCCGCUCCCACCUGCUGUGCUCCAGCAGUUCCCAAUCUCAGCAGAGUGCCCAGCCAGCUUCAAAGGGAGCGUUUGUAAAUGCCAGCGUCAAGUGGAGGUUAUGGAAUCAUCAGAAUGGUUGAUUAACCUUUCCCCCCUGCACAAGCAAGGAGAUCAUGGGACAGUUCAAAGGAGGUUAAUCAAGAGACUGAAGGAUAAUUCCAUUCUAAUCUAGUGACACACUAUGGCUCAGGAUUGGGACUAUUCCAUGAGGUAACAGCUGAGGGCAUUUCCUGCUCUUACCUGAGGCCCCUGCUCAGUUUUAAAGUCGAAAGGGUUUCCGACCACCCUGGCCUUGGCCUUCUCAACACUCCUCUCCACAAACUCAUUGUAAAUGUCCUCCUGGACGUACGUGCGGGACCCGGCACAGCAGCACUGCCCUUGGUUGAAGAACAGGGCGAAGUGGGCUUGAUCCACUGCCCAGUCCACUAAGAGUGGGGAGAGGAGAGAAAACAAAUCAGCAAAUAAACCCAACCAGAGUCAGAAGGUGACUUCUUCAGAACAAUUAUCACAGAGACUGAUGGGGGUAAAACGUCCUGUCAGUUGGCAGCGUUUUCCAUGCUUUGGUGUGGCAGAAGUUACAUACAUAUUUCAUUCAUAUGAGGGUCUAUUAAGGCACCCCAUACUAGACAAAAAUACCUAAUCUGAGGCAAAUUACAGUCCUAAUUUGAAUUUAUCAGGUAUUAAGGACAAAUUUUUUUAGAUCCAGAAGAAUUUCCUUCCUCGCUGCCAUAUAAAAGCACAUUUGUUGGUUCAUCAAGACCAAAAAUGAGACUGUAUGCAAGGGAAGAGGGAACCAGGACUUCUUAAGUGUAGGGAAGAGUGGUGUGCUCCAAGAGAAACAGAAAUUAAACCAAAAAUGGAGCAAAGACCAGGGGAAGAUACUGAAAUGACAGGUUGUUGACAACUGAACUUCACAGCACUGGGAA